rnacentral:lncRNA from 1 species
UAUUCUGUACUCUCUAGGUGGGAAACACGCCCAGGGAGGCUAAGUGACCUGCCUGAGAAACACCCAAAGUUCCAAUGCAAGUGAUCUGGAUGCCAAGCCAGCUCUCUUGACCACAUUCUCACAGACGGCCCUUGCCCUCCUCUGCGCAUUCAUUCCAGAAUUCCUGAAUGGGCCUGCUCUCUGCUCCGGGCCUUGCGGAAUGAAUGGCCCAAGUUCCCUGCCCUGGAGAUCUGGCAGCUGCAUGCCACAGCAUUCCCUGGGCUCCUGCGCUGGGCCAGGUAUUGUGCUGGGCGCCAGAGGAGUCCAGCAAUGAACAGAGGCAGCCACGUGGUCUCAGGGAGCCUAAGACACAGCCCCGGGAAUGAACCACGUCAACCACAGUGAUUUG